rnacentral:lncRNA from 1 species
GCGAGUGGUAGCGGCCGGCUCCUCCGGCGUCUGGUUCUUCUUCUCCGGCAAGCACUGGCGGCUAGGGUUUCUUUAGUCAGGUGUGGGUGGGGGUAUUUAUACCCUUUGCCUUUUAAUCUCAACCGUCCAUCAAGAUUAAAUCUGGACCGUUCGAUCGCGAUUUAAUUGGGAUUAAAUCUGGGCCGUCCAUCGCGAUGCAAUCUGGGCUGUCCGUGCCUGAUUGAAUCUGGGUUGUCCGUGCGCGUGAAUCUGGGCCGUCCGUGCGCGC